UCCUUCCGGUCUAGCGAUUCCUCCGACACCGUCGCUCCCUCCCACCGACGGCCUUUCUCUCUCCACUUGAUGGCCUCAUCUUAGGGCUCCAUUCUCUCGGCACACUUCUUCCUAAAUCGCGCUCUCUCCCGACGGCCGAUUUCGCUUGCCUCUCUCCGUCCCCCGACUCGCGACCAAGAAAGCAGUCGCUCGAGAAGCCCUAAAUCUGCGAGUCAGCGCAGCAACGCGAGAAGUGAAACUGCGGCUGUCUCUCUCUCUCUACCCUUGUCCGUUUUUUCCGUUCUUGGCAAAAUCGAAGAUGAGCCCACUUCUGGAUACAUGAUCUUAGGCCGACCCGUCAAGUCGAAGCCCGACGUAAUCUCGCUGCUUCGCUCCACCGAGCUGUUGAAUCGCUUGUGUCUGGGGGGUUUCAAGAUUUUCUGGGGGGGCAAUCAUUGCAGACUUCCAGGCGAGAAGAAAUGUGCCCACAAUAAUCACCCCAACACCGAACCGCCUCCUUUGUCCUCUCUCGGGAAUUAGUCGAAUUGCUUGUGAACUUUUCGUCAAGCACAUGAACAAAUGGCUCUCACUUUUCACUAGGACAAAAUGUCCGGACGAGGAUAAAGCAAUUCUCUUUGAUGAAUAAGUUCAAGAAGAAAGUUCUCAGAGUAGUAGUAGACAAUUUGCCUGAUGAGCAAGUGGAUCAUAUGAAAGAGCUGUUCGACGUGAUGGACACCAAUAAAAAUGGAGAUCGACAUUUGAAGAG